AGGGCUAGGAUUACAGGCGUGAGCCACUGCACCCGGCCCACCUUCAUUUUUUAAAGGAGUUCCUCUGCCUCUGUAGAUUUGGUGUUAUACUCUAGGUCUGGAUAGUGAUUUUCAAAUUUCAAGUUUCAACUCAUGGGUAGAUCAUAAAGUUACCCUAGUGCAUCACUCCAGUUUGUUUGUUUGUAAAGGAACUGGAGUAGAAUAGAAAAUAUCAAAAUGCAUUCAUUGCCCUUAAUACAGCCAGGUAUUAUUUCUUGUAACCUUUGUUUCAUUUACAUACAUAUACAUGUUUCCCUGUGUGUUGUAGGUCACAAUAUAAAGUGCAUUUCUUACUGUGGGUCAUUUUCAAGAGGUUUAAAAUCUACUUAUCUAGGAAACCAAAACAAAAUUUAAGUAAGUACUAUCAUUUUAGCCUUUGUUGCCAUUCUUUGUUGUUUGCAGCAAGAAUAGAAUUUUGGGAUGUGUCAAAGGCACUUGACUUCCAUUGAGCAAAUGGCCACUAGAUCUUUUAUUACCUAGUAGGAGGGUAAAACCACUCAUAUAAAUGCAGCAAAAAAUGCAGGAGAUAGAGAGGAAGAGAAGAAAAGCAAACAGUGUAGAUGAAAAGUCUCAGGCUCUUCCCAGUGAAUAGGCAUUUAAUUUUCAAAUAUCAGGGAUUCCCUCGUGUUAAUGCUAUGGAGUAUUUCCAUACACUUAGAAGUGAUAUGCUCAUUUGUAAACCAAAUUAUGAUGUUGUGAUACUACAGCCCAGGAUGGCAGGUUGUUCAGAAAGCACACUGCCUAUAGGGCCACCUGAGAGCCCAGUCCUCCGUUUUCUGCUUUGCUGACCACAGUCUCAUUUCCACUGCUGCUGCUCUCCUCUGCUCCUCGCUCAUCUGCCCACUGUGUCUUCAGCUCGGCCCACGCCCCAGACCCAUCAUCACUCAAGGUACCAAAUCACAGGUACUUCAGUCUUCAUCACCCCUAACGUUCCCACCUCUCACACAACCCAGGUAUCCAGAGACACAUGCCUCUAAACUGACUCAGGAGGCACACUGCUUGACGUGCAGGACAUUCCUUGAGCUGUGGCGGUCUCCUCCUUUCCAUGUGCCCUGAGGGCUGGAAGAGGUCAGCUAUAAAUUCAAAUUAGGUUCCACUGCUUAUUAGCUGUGUGGCCUUGAGCAAGUUGAGCUUCACUCUCAUCAUCUGUAAAUACUGGUGUGUGGUUUUGACUAGCCUAUAGUUUAGUUAUGAUGACUACAUGCAAUAACAUGUGUAAGGUACUCAGCAGUGUCAUGCACAGAGUAUCUCUUGUAUCAGUAAUUAAACCUCUGUGCUGACUUCACCUAAAACAUGCCAGGAGGUUGGCAAGACCAUUAGAGAUGUCUUCUAGAACCUCAGCUGGCAGCUGAGCCAGUCACCCAGCACCUGUGCCACUCUAAAGGCAGGCCUGUGUGGGUACUGGCCUCUUCUCCAGCUCAUGUUUUUAGGAGUAAGUCGUCAUACCCAACUGAUUCAAAAGGGAUUACCCUUUCUAUAAUUCCCUUCAUCCUUCUGAUCUUCUAAGUGAAUGAGUACUUAGAGAAUUUCUGUGUUUAAACUUAUCAUCUGAUCUUUAACUGCUCAUAUAUGUGUGUUUAGAUUUGAAUUCACAUUUUCAAUAUCUUUACACAUUAAAAAUGUUUCCAUUUUUAAGCACUUUUAAAAUUAUUACAUUGCAAGGUAAAAUUCCUCCUAGAAUUGAAUCUUGGUUCCACUUCUCAGUUACAUCAUCUUGGACAAUUCACAGGUUUCAGUUUCCUGUAAAAUUUCUUUCUGCCUACUUCCCAAGGAUGUUGAAUAUGAAAGUGCUCUGAAUAUUAUGAUGCCAUAUACAAAUGUAAUUGUAGUGGUAACAUUCUUACAAUGAGUGAUAGAUUGUACACAGUGAUAAGAGCAAUGUUAUUAUUUGUGGACUAGGGAUAACCAGUCUAUUCAUGAUGGUAUCUCUGACUGAAUAGAAUUGACCAAGGUUCCGUGCACAAUAACCAUGAUACUAAGCUCUGACAACCCUUGGAGAGGGGUCUUGAUAGAAAGAGGCUACUCUUAGAAAGCUUUAGUCAACUGUAAAGACCCAGAUCUACCACUUAUUAGCAGGGUGAACUUGGGCAAAAAAACCUUUUGGUACACUUUUGUCACCUGUAAAACAGGAUAACACUACUUUUGUUUAUUCAACAGGCAAUUAUUAUUGAGUGCCUCUGUAUGUAAAAACAUAAAGUAAACAAAUAUGCCUGCCUUGAUGGAGCCAAUAGUCUAAUUGGGGAGAUAAACAUAAAAGAAAUAAUCACAAAUGUGUGUGUACUUAAAAAUAGUGGUAAAUACUGCAAAGGAAAAGGUCCUUGCCACAUACAGGUGUGAAACGUUAGUAAGAGACCUUACCUGCAAAGGACAUGAGUAUCAGCUUUUAGAUGAGACCCGUGUUACCUGUGUUCAAGAUAAAUUAGUGAAUUACCCAUGCUGUUGCUACUUUUUGUACAGCUUUGAUUUUGUUCUUAUGAAUGUUCCCCUUCCCUACUGGAGAAGACUAGAACUCUACCCCCAUGGGUGCCUGCCUCUGGCCAGCACUGACAUCUGGACCCUGAGGUGUGCCCCUCUGUCCAGUACAACCACACCUCUUACCAGCCUCUCAGUUUCAUCUCCCACUUGUUCCUACUACUAUGCUUUGCAGAGAUUCAGCCCCACCUGCUCGGUCUGCCACCCACAAAACAUGUAUCUCUGUUGUACUUUAGUCCAGUCUUAAGGUUCAUAGACCCUUUCCAGUGUGAUCCAUCUUCUCUCGGUUAAUCCUUUCACCCUCAAUAAACAACAAUAAUAUAAUUUAUCGUGUAUUUAUUGUGGGCCAGCAUUUUAAAUCCAUCAUUCUCACCAGCUGUCUUGGCCCCCAUCCAAGCCCUGGGAGCAGUUUGGCUAUUAGCAGAGGAAAUAAGGGGCUUCUUGGUCAGUAGGUCACUUGGUCAGCCUCAUCACUUAUGUUGAUGGCCCGGCCCCAACAUGACCCUUGCUCAUUUCAUAUGCUCAAGUUGUACCUUGGUUCCAUUAACUGGACUUAAAUCUUGACCUUCUUUUCUGGUUUCCUGCUUGGAUGUCCCAUCAAAGACCUCAAGGCUGACCUCUAGUCCUUGUGUGAGAGAAUCCCUGAAACUCACUGCUAAGCCCUCUGGUGCCAUGUUCUGCCAGCUCGCUCAUACAUCUGUUUGGUAAGUGUAUCAGGCCAAACACCAGCCUGCCUUAUACUGGGCUCUGCCCAUCAGCCUGGCCCCUUCUGCAGGGGCCUCUGUUGCCAGCUGCCAUUCUGACCUCUCUUCUUCCUUUUGCCAGUUGGAACCAUCCCUGGUUACUGGCUCUGUGCUGAUGGACCAUUCUACUGAUUGGUCUCAAAUCCAACAUGUGCUUUAUAUUUUAAAGUAUGUAUUAGGUUUAACCUACCAGAAAAUUAAGAGUAAGGUGACUUGACUAAGGCAAACCCUUAUUUUCCUUCUUUCUCCCCUCCUCCUGUAGUAACUAGCUCUCAGUGCUACUUUUCUAACUUCAUCUAAUAAACAAAUUUGUUCUUGGAACUCACGAAACUGACUUUACUCCAAUUUAAUAAAAUGGCAUUUGCUGGUAGAAAAGAAAUUUUACUGUGUUUAAACAGAUUAAAAUGUGAUUUUCUCAAUCGUCAAAACUGUUUUUGAUAGAUUUCCUGUGUUUUGUGGUUUUUUUUAUAAAAGAAAAAUUAUUCACAUUAUUGUAAUUCCAUAUAGUGCAGAACAAGAAAAAAGGAUGUGAUGCAAAUCCUUUAGCAGAAAGGUCAUGUGAGUCACUGGAGUGUCCUGAACCAUAGUCGGAACUUAGACCCGCUGAUGAUGCCCAGCACAUUUCUUCAGACUAAGAUACCACUCAUUUAUGUGCAUGUUUUUCAUCUGAAUAUUUGCACCGAAGGAGAGCAUUAGAGGGAUACUCACUUGUAAACAAAGGCAGGUAGUGUGAGGAGGAAAUGAAUACUUCACAGAACUCUAAAAUAAACCAGAUUCUCAGAACCUCGCGCUCUUAAUAAUAAUUCCUGCCAUUCUUUAUCUUUUAGAACAUAAGUGAUUGAGAGAAUUAAAGAGCAGGCUUAGUAAUGAUAAAAGCAUGAAUUCUGAUUGGUGAUCCUGAAUAACAACUUUAAAGUAAUAAACCUUGAUGUUCUAACAAGCAAGAGUGAUGAAGAUUCCAGCUCCUGUUCAUAAUUGGUUGAUAUUUACUACUGAACACACAGCACUGUACAAGGUGUCCAUGUCUUCCUCAGUUUGAUUAGAGUAAGUGAUGAAUAUAGGGACACAGCUGGCUCCUCUUUUUGAUGAUUUAAUCUGAAGGGGAAGGAUAGUUUUGCAGAGGAGAAAUGAUUCCAAUGUUUUGGUCAGGGUUAGAUGAUUAGCCUGUUGAUGAGGAAAUUCAGAGUGCAAAGGCCAGUAUAGCUUUUGGUUAACAUUUUGCAUAAUUCCGACUGACUAAACCUGCAAUUCCUGGUAAUGGAAUUCCUGGUAACUGAAUUUGAAUCUUUGACAAAGUUUGGAAGUAAAUUGGAUCUACCCUCAGGAUCAGACUAGCAAUCAUAUUACUGGGUAAAUGAUUUUACAUUCUAGUCAGAGUUAGGUUGCAAACAGCAGAGAUCUAUUCAUGUCUACUGCAAAAAAAAAGGAGAAAGAUUUUAAGGAUAGGCUCAAAGUGAAACCACAAAAUCAUUUAGGGGUGUGGAGUCUCUCCUCUUCUUUCUGUCUCUUCUCUUUGUGGAUCUGCCUCAUUCUGUUCCCAAGGUUAUCUUGAGCUUCCUUGUGGUCCACCCAGAAUUUACCUCAUAUCCUUUUAAUUUAGCUGCCAUAGCAAUCUGACUCAGAUUUCCAGUUUCUUAAAUGCUUUAAGUAGGAAGUCUCAUGGGCCCAUACUAAUUUUUUGAGUUGGGCAACCAAGUCAUAGGUGGCUGGCCAGCCUGUGAAUAGACUGGCUUUGGGUCCGGUGUCCAAUCAGAUGUAGCUUCAGGAUCAAAGGUCAAAGUAGGUUUGCUUAGAGUAGCAGUCUGUUGCUGCACAGAUUCCUGCAUAUAAAUAGGCAGACAAUGAUUGGUGUCUCCCAUGUGGCUAGCCUCCUGCUAGCAAGUGAAUCCAAACACUGAACUCUUAUGAAAGAAAAAUUGCCCUGGGCAGCUGGGCGGGGAGACCACAGUCUGGUCUUUUUUCCAUGGAGUUUUGAAAUUCAAUGAUGACCACCUUCCUUUCUCUCCUGUUGAAAGUUGGCCUGUCCUAUAUCCUUUUGGUGAGAACACUGCUGUCCUACCCCAGAUGAAAAUUAAGACAUAAUAUAAAAAGCUAUUGCUGCUGGGAGAGUGGACACUGGAAGGAAAGGAGGCAAAUGGAAAGAGAGAAGAAGAAACGAGGAAGAACAGCUGGCUUGGAGGAAAGCAAUUGGGUGAUGUGAGAAGUUUAGUGAGUCUUCAACCUCAUGCAGUUGUGCAACCCUCCCUCCCUGAACAUGCAACUGAUUUCUUGUCUCCUUUCCAAUAUUCUAAUCUCUCCUUGUGUGCUGUGAGGGUGAUUCUGAGCUGGAGGAAGAAGUGCUAUAAAAAUCCAGGUGAGUAUUGCUAUGCUCUUGAGCACGUGCUUUAAUUCUCUUAUUAUUUUCUGUGUCUUUGAGACAGUGGAGCCUCUGCUGAGGAGAGUGAGGCUCUAAAAAUGUCUGCACUUAUCUGCAGGGCUGAUAGGCUACUUCAUUUAGCAGUUGGGGUGGAGAUGGAAACCCUUCAAGUACUUGAUGCCAUUGAGCCUUGUUAAUUUGUGAAAGGGUUUUGUACUUGCCCUCUUUCUUUCUUCUUUUUUUAUUCAACCAUUCUUAAUUUUCCAAUCCUACUUUUUGUUGGCUUUAAAUGUGUUCACCAGAGUCCUGCCAGCUUUAGUUGGAAGAAAUAUGUUUCCGAGCUUAGUUGGACAUGGGUUUUCUUUGGGCCCUGCCCAGACUUUUGACAGAGAAGGUAGUGUUAAGGGGGUUGAUGGUGUCUAGACAGUAAAAUCAGAAACUGUGUAAUUUAUGUUGUAUUACAGACAUCCACUUCCCGGAUUGGAAAAAGGAAACCGGCUUUUAUCUAAGGAAGUUACAUUAAAAAGCAAAGCCCCUGGGUAUUUCUGACCCAUGAAAAGUUGAAGCUUGAGUAGUUUUACAUAACAUUCUCUAGCCCCUUCAAAGGGAGGAAUUAUUGAGGGUAGUACUAUGUAGGGCCAGAGAUGGGAAAUAAACUUCCAAGUUUCAGGAGUUAAUUCACAGAACCAUAUAGCAAUUCUUCCCAGCUACUUACCUCUGUUAGACCCCUGUAAGCUCCCAGUGCAAUUUGGGUAUUAUACUUCAGUUUCAGAGGGAUACUGGAAAGUUGGAGAAGACAGAGGCUAAUAGCAAAAGAGGAUGGAGUUGUUUGGAACUCUAAAGAAGAUUGAAGAUCUGACUAAGGGACCAAAAAAAAAAAAA